rnacentral:rRNA from 1 species
CCAGUAGUCAUAUGCUUGUCUCAAAGAUUAAGCCAUGCAUGUCUCAGUACAAGCCAAAUUAAGGUGAAACCGCGAAAGGCUCAUUAAAUCAGUUAUGGUUCCUUAGAUCGUACCCACAUUUACUUGGAUAACUGUGGUAAUUCUAGAGCUAAUACAUGCAAACAGAGCUCCGACCGGAGACGGAAGGAGCGCUUUUAUUAGAUCAAAACCAAUCGGUGGCGGGAGACCCCGUCACCGUACACGUUGGUGACUCUGAAUAACUUAUUGCUGAUCGCACGGUCUCGCACCGGCGACGCAUCUUUCAAAUGUCUGCCUUAUCAACUGUCGAUGGUAGGUUCUGCGCCUACCAUGGUUGUAACGGGUAACGGGGAAUCAGGGUUCGAUUCCGGAGAGGGAGCCUGAGAAACGGCUACCACAUCCAAGGAAGGCAGCAGGCGCGCAAAUUACCCACUCCCGGCACGGGGAGGUAGUGACGAAAAAUAACGAUACGGGACUCAUCCGAGGCCCCGUAAUCGGAAUGAGUACACUCUAAAUCCUUUAACGAGGAUCAAUUGGAGGGCAAGUCUGGUGCCAGCAGCCGCGGUAAUUCCAGCUCCAAUAGCGUAUAUUAAAGUUGUUGCGGUUAAAAAGCUCGUAGUCGAAUUUGUGUCCCGCGCCGCCGGUUCAUCGCUCGCGGUGUCAACUGGCGUGUCCGCGGGACGUCCUGCCGGUGGGCUUAGCCCCCCGUGGGCGGCCCAAUCUCAAUCCCACCGCGGUGCUCUUCAUUGAGUGUCGAGGUGGGCCGGCACGUUUACUUUGAACAAAUUAGAGUGCUUAAAGCAGGCUAAAACAUCGCCUGAAUACUGUGUGCAUGGAAUAAUGGAAUAGGACCUCGGUUCUAUUUUGUUGGUUUUCGGAACCCCGAGGUAAUGAUUAAUAGGAACGGAUGGGGGCAUUCGUAUUGCGACGU